rnacentral:rRNA from 1 species
UCAGAUUGAACGCUGGCGGCAGGCCUAACACAUGCAAGUCGAGCGGAUGAAGGGAGCUUGCUCCUGGAUUCAGCGGCGGACGGGUGAGUAAUGCCUAGGAAUCUGCCUGGUAGUGGGGGAUAACGUCCGGAAACGGGCGCUAAUACCGCAUACGUCCUGAGGGAGAAAGYGGGGGAUCUUCGGACCUCACGCUAUCAGAUGAGCCUAGGUCGGAUUAGCUAGUUGGUGGGGUAAAGGCCUACCAAGGCGACGAUCCGUAACUGGUCUGAGAGGAUGAUCAGUCACACUGGAACUGAGACACGGUCCAGACUCCUACGGGAGGCAGCAGUGGGGAAUAUUGGACAAUGGGCGAAAGCCUGAUCCAGCCAUGCCGCGUGUGUGAAGAAGGUCUUCGGAUUGUAAAGCACUUUAAGUUGGGAGGAAGGGCAGUAAGUUAAUACCUUGCUGUUUUGACGUUACCAACAGAAUAAGCACCGGCUAACUUCGUGCCAGCAGCCGCGGUAAUACGAAGGGUGCAAGCGUUAAUCGGAAUUACUGGGCGUAAAGCGCGCGUAGGUGGUUCAGCAAGUUGGAUGUGAAAUCCCCGGGCUCAACCUGGGAACUGCAUCCAAAACUACUGAGYUAGAGUACGGUAGAGGGUGGUGGAAUUUCCUGUGUAGCGGUGAAAUGCGUAGAUAUAGGAAGGAACACCAGUGGGGAAGGCGACCACCUGGACUGAUACUGACAUUGAGGUGGGAAAGCGUGGGGAGCAAACAGGAUUAGAUACCCUGGUAGUCCACGCCGUAAACGAUGUAGACUAGCCGUUGGGAUCCUUGAGAUCUUAGUGGCGCAGCUAACGCGAUAAGUUGACCGCCUGGGGAGUACGGCCGCAAGGUUAAAACUCAAAUGAAUUGACGGGGGCCCGCACAAGCGGUGGAGCAUGUGGUUUAAUUCGAAGCAACGCGAAGAACCUUACCUGGCCUUGACAUGUUGAGAACUUUCCAGAGAUGGAUUGGUGCCUUCGGGAACUCAGACACAGGUGCUGC